rnacentral:tRNA from 1 species
ACCUGGGUGGCUCAGUUGGUUGAGCGUCCGACUUCGGCUCAGGUCACGAUCUCACAGUUUGUGGGUUCCAGCCCCACAUCAGGCU